GGGCCCAUAGCUCAGCGGUUAGAGCGUCCGGCUCAUAACCGGCAGGUCCCUGGUUCAAAUCCAGGUGGGCCCACCA
rnacentral:tRNA from 1 species